UUGCUCUCAUUCCUUUAGCAAAAUAUGUAUUUGUAGUGCUUAAAGCAAAUGAUAAUGGGGAAGGAGGAACAUUUGCUCUGUACUCGCUGAUUAGCAGAUAUGCAAAGGUUAGUAUGCUGCCAAAUCGUCAGCCAGCUGAUGAACAUAUCUCAAGUUUUAGGCUCAAGCUGCCCACUCCGGAGUUGGAAAGGGCUUUAAGCAUAAAAGACGCUUUGGAGAAGAAGUCAUUCCUGAAAACAAUUCUUUUGCUGUUGGUUCUGAUGGGAACUUCCAUGGUUAUAGGAGAUGGUAUUCUAACUCCUGCCAUAUCAGUGAUGUCUGCUAUGAGCGGUCUGCAGGGUGAAAUACCUGGAUUUGGCACAACUGCACUGGUUGUUGUCUCGAUCAUAGUGCUUGUGGCUUUGUUCAGCAUCCAACAGUUUGGGACUGGGAAAGUGAGUUUCCUGUUUGCUCCUGUGCUCGCUUUGUGGUUCUUCUCUUUGGCUUCUAUUGGACUUUACAAUAUGGUGACUCAUGAUAUUAGUGUCUUGAGGGCAUUCAAUCCUGCUUAUAUCUAUCUUUUCUUCAAGAAAAACAGCUUAGACGCAUGGUCAGCUCUUGGUGGUUGUGUUCUGUGCAUCACAGGAGCUGAAGCAAUGUUUGCUGAUCUGGGGCAUUUUUCUGUAAAAGCAAUACAGAUUGCAUUCUCUUGCGUAGUAUUUCCCUGUCUUCUCCUAGCUUACAUGGGCCAGGCUUCGUAUUUAAUGAAACACCCGAAAUCUUCAGACAGAAUAUUCUAUGAUUCUGUGCCAGAGAGUCUGUUCUGGCCAGUCUUUGUCAUAGCUACCCUUGCUGCCAUGAUUGCCAGCCAAGCAAUGAUUUCUGCUACAUUUUCAUGUGUUAAGCAAUCUAUGGCUCUUGGAUGCUUCCCAAGGCUGAAGAUAGUUCACACCUCAAGGAGGCUGAUGGGUCAAAUUUACAUCCCUGUUAUAAAUUACUUUUUAAUGAUUAUGUGCAUAGUUGUGGUUUCAAUCUUUCGGAGCACCACGGAUAUCGCCAAUGCAUAUGGCAUAGCUGAGGUUGGUGUGAUGAUUGUGAGUACUACAUUAGUGACACUUGUAAUGCUUCUGAUCUGGCAGACUAAUUUGUUUCUGGCUUUAUGUUUCCCACUUGUUUUUGGGUCAGUAGAACUCAUUUACAUGUCUGCGGUUUUAUCAAAAAUCAAAGAGGGUGGAUGGCUUCCACUUGUAUUUGCCAGUUGUUUCCUUUCUGUGAUGUACAUUUGGAACUAUGGGAGUGUGUUGAAAUACCAGAGUGAGGUAAGGGAAAAGAUUUCCAUGGAUUUCAUGCUUGAGCUUGGUUCCACCCUGGGGACCGUUAGAGUUCCUGGAAUCGGAUUGUUGUACAAUGAGCUUGUCUAUGGUAUUCCCUCGAUAUUGGGGCAGUAUCUACUAAGUCUUCCAGCAAUCCACUCUACUAUAGUAUUUGUUUGCAUCAAGUAUGUCCCUGUUCCGGUGGUUCCUCAAGAGGAGAGGUUUCUUUUCCGAAGAGUUUGCCCAAAAGACUACCAUAUGUUCCGCUGUGUUGCCCGGUAUGGUUACAAAGAUGUCAGGAAGGAAGAUCACCAUGCGUUUGAGCAACUUUUGGUCGAAAGCCUUGAAAAGUUUUUGCGAAGAGAGGCUCAGGAUCUUGCCUUGGAGAGCAAUUUGAACGAGUUGGACAUGGAUAGUGUUUCAGUGACGUCAAAGGAUUCUGGGGCCCCAGCUGGUGACGGGACUGAGGACCUAAGGAUUCCUUUGAUGCAUGAUCAAAGAUCAGGAGAACCUGGGACUUCUGCUUCGGAAGAAGCAUCCUCAGCAUUGCCUUCUAGUGUCAUGUCAUCAGAGGAAGACCCAAGUCUAGAAUAUGAGCUUGCAGCUCUUAAAGAAGCAAAAGACUCAGGAUUUACUUAUCUGCUCGCUCAUGGGGAUGUAAGAGCAAAGAAAAAUUCCUUUUUUCUCAAGAAAUUGGUUAUUAACUACUUCUAUUCAUUCUUGAGGAGGAAUUGUAGAGGUGGCGCAGCCACUAUGCGAGUACCUCACAUGAAUAUCCUGCAAGUUGGGAUGACAUACAUGGUCUAAUUCAUUUGAUCCCCUGCAAUUUGUUGUUGUCGGCCACCUAUUGCGGCCUCUGUGAAACCUCAAUGAACUUUUAGGAAAAUCUUUGUACUUU
rnacentral:misc_RNA from 1 species